AGAGUUUGAUCCUGGCUCAGGAUGAACGCUGGCGGCGUGCCUAAUACAUGCAAGUCGAGCGAACGGACGAGAAGCUUGCUUCUCUGAUGUUAGCGGCGGACGGGUGAGUAACACGUGGAUAACCUACCUAUAAGACUGGGAUAACUUCGGGAAACCGGAGCUAAUACCGGAUAAUAUUUUGAACCGCAUGGUUCAAAAGUGAAAGACGGUCUUGCUGUCACUUAUAGAUGGAUCCGCGCUGCAUUAGCUAGUUGGUAAGGUAACGGCUUACCAAGGCAACGAUGCAUAGCCGACCUGAGAGGGUGAUCGGCCACACUGGAACUGAGACACGGUCCAGACUCCUACGGGAGGCAGCAGUAGGGAAUCUUCCGCAAUGGGCGAAAGCCUGACGGAGCAACGCCGCGUGAGUGAUGAAGGUCUUCGGAUCGUAAAACUCUGUUAUUAGGGAAGAACAUAUGUGUAAGUAACUGUGCACAUCUUGACGGUACCUAAUCAGAAAGCCACGGCUAACUACGUGCCAGCAGCCGCGGUAAUACGUAGGUGGCAAGCGUUAUCCGGAAUUAUUGGGCGUAAAGCGCGCGUAGGCGGUUUUUUAAGUCUGAUGUGAAAGCCCACGGCUCAACCGUGGAGGGUCAUUGGAAACUGGAAAACUUGAGUGCAGAAGAGGAAAGUGGAAUUCCAUGUGUAGCGGUGAAAUGCGCAGAGAUAUGGAGGAACACCAGUGGCGAAGGCGACUUUCUGGUCUGUAACUGACGCUGAUGUGCGAAAGCGUGGGGAUCAAACAGGAUUAGAUACCCUGGUAGUCCACGCCGUAA
rnacentral:rRNA from 1 species